GACAGCAUUACCGGAAAUAUUUUCACAAAUUCCAGGCGAAACUUCCGUAUAUACAAUAUUAAAUCUUUGGCAAAAUUUUGAUGCAGGAAAAUUGCAAGCCUAUCAUUAAGGACAUUUUGGUAAUUAUAAACAAUAUGGACAAAUAACACCGAUAACGUAUGACCUUAAAAAAGUUACUGCACCCUUAGCUUUAUUUUACGGCGCUAAUGAUUUGCUUGCUAUAAAAACGAAUGUCCUCGAGUCACCCAAGGUGUUGCCGAAUAUUAUUGUGCUGGAAGAAGUUCCAGAUAAAUUAUUAAAUAAAAUUCAUCUCUCUCUUUCUCUCUCUCUCUCUCUC